GAUUAACGCUGGCGGCGUGCAUAACACAUGCAAGUCGAACGAUGAAACUUAAAUGAUUUCUUCGGAAUGAAGUUAAGUGGCUUAGUGGCGGACGGGUGAUUAACGCGUGCUUAUCCUUCCUUACACACGGGGAUAGCCGUUGGCUACGACGAAUAAUACCCUAUGAAACUAUCACUUCGCAUUAAGCGCUAGUCAAAGUGUUAGCGGUGUAGGAGGGACUUGCGUCUGAUUAGCUAGUGGGUGCGAAAAAAGCCCACCAAGGCAACGAUCAGUAGCCGGCACGAGAGAGCGGACGGCCGCCGUGGGGCUGGGACACGGCCCGAACUUCUGCGGAAGGGCGCAGUGGGGAAUUAUGCACAAUGGGUGAAAGCAGGAUGCCGCGGCGCCGCAUGAUUCAGAAGGCGUUAGAGUUGUAAAGAUCUUUUGUAUAGGAAGAUAAUGACGGUACUAAAAGAAUAAGGACCGGCUAAUUACGUG
rnacentral:rRNA from 1 species